rnacentral:lncRNA from 1 species
AUUUUUUAUUUUAGAUUUGGGAAACUGUUGGGUCCCACUUGUUCUUACAUGAACCGAACUUGGACGCAGUUUUGUAUUUUUCUCUGAGUUGUUUAUUUAUUUAUUUUUUUUACUAAUUUCUUUUUUUGGGGUCAAUAAUGUAGUAUACAUGUAAUUAAUAUUCACUUGUAGACAAAAUAAUAUAUUAAAUGUUAACUUCUGUUAUUUAUCUCCACUUGUCAGUUUUAUUUUUAUUUUGGG